AUGUUUUGGCGAAGUUNUUCUCAUUGUGGCAGUUGACUCAGAUGAUUUUCUAAAUUUUUAAAAUGUCGAUCAGGCGACUUAUGACAAUGUGGUCAAUCACUUCAUCUAUUUAGGUGGUAUGAAUCCCGUGGACUCUGCAAGACAUUAUUUUAAAUGUGCCUUUACUAGCGAUAUAGAUAUUUUAUCUCAUGUCACGUGGCUGGGUACAAACAAUUUAUACGCUUUAAAAGGAACUUGCUUCGCCGAAGCAUGUGAAGAUGCAAUGGCUAGAAAUCGUGACUACUGUCGACCAACUAAUAUCGAGUUUGCUGAAGCAAUGACUCGCGCUCUUAAAAGUUCAAAAGAGAGGCGACGAAAACGUCAAUUAGUCGCGAAUUUGAACAACCGACAUCAGAUCAGCAAUCAGAUAAUCGACAACGUUGAAGAGAAAGACCGUCAAGUUCGUAGAUGUCGUGUGAAAAAAAAGCAACUUCUGCCAGAGUUUACAGAAUAUCGCCAGAGUCAGUUGCUACCUUUCAAAGCACUGAUGUAAGUUUAAGCAUUUGUAAACUACAUUAAUUGUUAUUUUGUCAACAUAUGAAAAAGUAAAAAAAUCCGAAAAGUUUAUAUUGCUGCAAUAAUACAAAAAAACAUCAAGUUUGUCUUAUCACUCGUCAAGUUUCAGCAAAACAAAAAACAAAACUUGUUUAUCUGGCGUAAUGCCAGACGUUCAUUGUGUUGCCUAUUACAAUAAAAUUACAUUAUAUAUUAUUUUUUAUACUAUAUAUAUAUUGUUAUUCUUGC